AUACGGAGGGUGCAAGCGUUAUCCGGAAUCAUUGGGUUUAAAGGGUCCGUAGGCGGACUAUUAAGUCAGAGGUGAAAUCCCACAGCUCAACUGUGGAACUGCCUUUGAUACUGGUAGUCUUGAGUUAUAUGGAAGUAGAUAGAAUGUGUAGUGUAGCGGUGAAAUGCAUAGAUAUUACACAGAAUACCGAUUGCGAAGGCAGUCUACUACGUAUAUACUGACGCUAAGGGACGAAAGCGUGGGGAGCGAACAGAAUUAGAAACCCCAGUAGUCC
rnacentral:rRNA from 1 species